GUAGCACAGGCUCCAUUCUUUUUCCUUUUAAGAAAAUGCAAACAAGUACUUGUGCUUUCUGUAGUAAUGUUUUCCUUAAUUGAGAACAUUAAAUAACAAUUGUAUUUAUUAAGUUAGUCAGUGAUUAUAAAAUCUUUCAUCUGAUAUGACUGGGAAACUUACCAGUCUUUAUUUAAUUUUCACUUUCUUUUUAGGAAAUUAAGUAAAAAUUGAGUAGUGGAAUUCUAUUCUCCCCACUGAUAGAAUUGAAGAUAUUAUCAGACAAGACAAAAAACACUGGGCUGCUGUACUAGAGUAUAUACAAAUAGCAUAUGGAACUAGAUUUCCCUUAGUAUUGGCUAGAUUAGGGUAAUGAUCAGCAAAUAUUCUUACUAGUAAAAUUGUACAUUUUUUUCUUUGCUUUAGUAUUCAUUUAAAAAAUUUUUACGUUUCUAGUUUUUUCCCUUCCUCCAGUUCCUUCCCUAUCCAAUUGAGGAGGUAAGCAAGAUGAUGGUUCUUAUACAAGUGAAGUUAUGAAAAAUGCUUCCAUAUUGGCCAUUUUUUUAAAAAGCAAAAAAAAGGGGGGAGGGGUAUGUUUCAUUCUGCACUCAGACUUCAGUUUUCUUUUUGGAGGUGGUUAGCAUUUUUCUUUGUGAGUUCUUUGGAAUUGUCACAGAUCAGUGUAUUGAUUAAAGUAGGUAAGAAUUAUAGUUGAAAAUCACAAAAACUUGCCAUUACUAUGUAUAGUGUUCUCUUGGGUUCUGUUCAUUUCAGUUUGCUUUAGUUUAUGUGAGUCUUUAUAAAACCAUUCCCUUUGUCAUUUCUUACAGUGCAAUAAUAUUCCAUCACAGUUUACCACAAUUUGUAGAGUUGUUUCCUUAUUGAUGAACAUCUAAUUUCCAAUUCUUUCCUACUACAAAAAGAGUUAUUGAUUUUUUUUUGCACAUAUAAGUCUUUUUCCUUAAAGUUGCUUAAACUCAAAUCUUUUAUUAGCCUUUCUAAAUGAAAUAUUAAAAAUAACAUUAAAUUUCAUUCCUAAUCUGUCUCCAGAAUAUGAAAUCUACUCAUGAAUAGAAAUUAUUUCUUAAUUUUCUUUUUAAAUUUUCUUUCUGUUUCAUUCUAAUUACCACAGGGGGUGGGGAAGAGGAGAAGAAUAAAAAACUCUUCUCUUUAGGAAAUUAUUUUUGUAUUCUUUUUCUUAAAGGACUUUUGUGUUUUAUUUUGUUUUUUUCUUCAUCCUACUGAAACUCAGUCACUGUCCCUGGUUUUAGUAGGUGUUCCAAGAUUUAUUUGCUGUUUUUAAGUGUAUAGUUCAAAAAUUAACUUUUAUUUCAUUGACAUAAUUUCUAGUGUCUUGGAGUUUAUUUAUUCCCAGCUUGUUAAUAUUAAUCUCUCACUUACUCUCCAAAAUCAAAGAAAAAACAGAAAUAAAUAGUCAUGGUCACCUUAUUAAGCGAUUAGUUUAUAUUGAGCUACUAGUUGCAAGUUUGAUCAUGGUUUGAAAAGGAUCACAGUUUAUAGAAGCAGUGACCUACUUAAGUAAGACAUCACCAACUUUUAGUCGAUAAAUAUCAUAGCAAGUUAAUUAAAUUAACAGCCUCUAAUGGCUGUUUAAAUUUAUCUCAGUUUGAGCAAUAUUUGUUGAAAUACAUCAGAACAAAAGGGAAAAUGAUGAUAAAAAAAACCAUCCAUGCAGUCUUUUUAAUUGAAAUGUCUAAGGUUCUUUGUUGUUUUAAUGUAAUGGUAUCCAAUGGUAUCCAGGACAGCCAAUUUCAGAAUUGUUGAACUUACUUAAAAACCAUGAUGAAAAGAAGAAAGCCUGGAUAAAAUUUUUCAAGGAAUUAUUAAGGAAAAAUGUCUUGAUAUCCUAGAACCAGAGGGCAAAAUAGAAAUUAAAAGAAAUUCCAGAGCUUCCAGAUCAAGGAGUGUAAAAGGCUGAAACUAUGAAAAGAAUUGUCAUUGUGAUUCAAGUUUGAUAGCAGUCAGAAAAAUGAAUAUCACCCUCAGUUUGUGUGCAGAUUAUAAUCUAAAAGUUCAGCCAAUAUAGCCUAACUUUUAUCACAUCAUCCACAAUAAAAACCUCUGAUUUAAAGAUUUCCAGUGGUAAGAAUUUAAUUUUCUCCUAAAGAAAUUCAGUAUUCUUUGGAUAUCCCUAAUUUCAGGGAAGUUUUUCCAUAUUUUGAAAUAAUUCUGCUUCCCUGGCACAAUUAUCUUGUUCUGUUCUCUAGCAUCAAACAAAAAAUCAUCUCUAUAAUAAUCUUUUAAAUAUGUAAGCACUAAACUUAUUCUCUACUUCACCAAAUUAUCCAGAUAUUAUCAGUUUCACUAGAUGAUCCUCUUAAUAAAAAGGCUAAGUUCCUUCACCUUCCUAGACACAGUCUUACAUCCAAGGAUAAUUUUACCAUACUUUCUAAAAUUUUGCACCCUGAAAGCUAGCAGCAAGACACUGAACCCCAGGACAAAAGCCUUGGAAUCAGAGGUUAACUAUUCUCACCUAAAAAUAUCAAAUCACAAAAUAAAAAAAUGAACAAAAAAAGUUGGAAUAAUCCAAAAAAAACCCCCAAAAACCCAAGAAAAAAAUGUCAACAGCAUAGAAAAAGUAGAAUUGACUAAAUAGAAAAGGAGGGAGAAAAUCUCAGAGAAGAAAAUGAUUCAUUAAAAAUUAGAAUUUGAGAAGUGGAAGCAUGAUGAAACAAAAAAGAAAAGAAAACGAAAUUUCUAAUUGAAAAGAAAACUGAUCUGAAAAAUAGAUCCAGGACAGCCAAUUUCAGAAUUGUUGAACUUACUUAAAAACCAUGAUGAAAAGAAAAAAGCCUGGAUAAAAUUUUUCAAGGAAUUAUUAAGGAAAAAUGUCUUGAUAUCCUAGAACCAGAGGGCAAAAUAGAAAUUAAAAGAAAUUCCAGAGCUUCCAGAUCAAGCAGUGUAAAAGGCUGAAACUAUGAAAAGGUAUGCUUGAAUCAGACAACUGAGCACUUAAAGCUAAUUACUUAUUCGAUAUGAGAUGAUGACUAUUAGUAUAUGUUAGCAUUACACAGAAUUCAGCAAUUUUCACACUAAAAAACUGAGGUACUUGAAAUAUGACUUUCUGGAAAGUAGAAGAGUUAGAUUAUAACCAAGAAUCACAUACCUAUCAAAAAUGAAGAUAAUCCUUCAGGGGAGGGAGGGAAUGGAUAUUUAAUGAAAGGAAUUUAACAUAAAUUAAGAUGAAAUGAAAUUUAAUUUAAAAAGAGAAUUUUAAUUAAAAGACCAGGAAUGAAUAAAAAAAUAACCUUCAAAUACAAGAUUUAAUGGAAAAUAAAAAAUAAAUAAGAGAGAAAACAUAAAACUUGUAAGGUAAGACUGUUUAUAUUACCAUGUGGCGAGAGAUUUAUCAAUUGUAAGAAAUUUAUUACUGUAAGGGCAAUUAGAAAGCAUAUACUAGGAGUAGACAGAGAGUGUGGAUGUAAGCUUAUAGAGUGUGGAUGUAAGCUUAUUUUGAUGGGAUGAUACAAAAAAAAAAAAAAACCCAAAGAAAUGAAAAAGAAGAUUGUACUAGGUGAAAGAGGGGGAAGACUGGGAUAAGUUAUUUCUCAUAAAAGUAGCAUAAAAGAACUAUUAUAAUGGACGAGAAUAUGGUGGGGGGAGGUAGUGGUCAGGAAGCUUAGAAAUCUUACUCCCAUCAGAAUUAGCUUAAAGAAGGAAUAACAUAAACACUUAGUUGUGUACAGAAAUCCAUUUUAUAUAAGGAAAGUGUGUGUGUGUGUAUGGGAGUAAAGGGAUAUUAGGAAGCAAAAAGGGAUAAGAGAAAGGAGCAGGGGAGGCAAAAGAAAGAGCACAUUAAAGGGAGGCUGAUCAGAAAUAAAACACUUGUGAGAAGGGAUAGUGUGAAUUUAGGUAAGAGAGAAGCAAAAACAAAGGAGAAAUAGCACAGAGGGAAAUACACAAUAAUCAUAAGUAUAAAUAUGAAUGUGAUGAAUUCACCCAUUAAAUAAAAGCUGAUAGAAUGAAUUAAAAGCCAUAAUCCUAUAUAAUGUUAUUUAUAAGAAAUACAUCUUAAGCCCAAAGACACACAUAGAGUAAGAUAAGAAGCUGGAGUAGAAUCUAUUUUGCUUCAGCCGAAGGGGAAAAAAAAAAAGCUGGAGUAGCAAUUGUGAUCUCAAAGUAAAAAUAGGUUUAAUAAAAAGAAAUAAGAAAAAAUAUCGAAAAGAUAACAAUAGACAAUGAGUAAUAUGUACCAAAUGGAAUAGCAUCUUUUUGAAGGAUAUGUUGAACAUAUUUUGCUAUAAGAAUUAAAUAAACCUAACCAAAAAAUGAACAAGAAAAACAUUAAAGAGGUGAAGAGCAUUCUGCAAAAGUUAAAUAUGAUAGAUCUCUAGAGAAAAAUGAAUUCACAAAAGUUGACCAGAUAUUAGGGCAUUAAAAACUUCACAACUCAUGCAGAAAAGCAGACACAGCAAAUAUUCUUUUUAGGUCAUAAUUACAUUAAAUAAUGGGCUGUGUGUGUGUGUGUCCCCUCUUUGAGUCUGUUCAGAUGAGAAUGAGAUUCAGAUGUUAUUAGUCCUCUAAACAUCUCCUUUAAUGUGAGAUAAUUUUUGCUAUUCUUAUUUUUCCCUUCUUCCAGUGCAUUCAUUUCCUUAUCUUUCCCUUAAUUUGCAUUUUUCUGAUCAAUAAUAAUUAAGACAGUUCUGAGGUACCACUACAUCCCUCUCAGAUUGGUUAGGAUGACAGGAAAAGACAAUGAUGAGUGUUGGAGGGGAUGUGAGGAAACUGGGACACUAAUACAUUGUUGGUGAAGUUGUGAAUGGAUCCACCCAUUCAGUAGAGCAAUUAGGAACUAUGCUCAAAAAGUUAUCAAACUGUGCACACCCUUUGAUCCAGCAGUGUUUCUACUAGACUUGUAUUCCAGAGGGAUCCACAUGUGCAAAAAUGUUUGUGGAAACCCUUUUUGUAGUGGCAAGAAACUGGAAACUUGAGUGGAUGCCCAUCACUUAGAGAAUGACUGAAUAAUUUAUGAUGUAUGAAUGUUAUUGAAUAUUAUUGUUCUAUAAGAAAUGAUCAGUAGGAUGAUCUCUGAGAGGCUUGGAGAGACUAACAUGAACUGAUGCUAAGUGAAGUGAGUAGACCCAGGAGAUCAUUGUACAUGGCAAACAGCUAGAUUAUAUAAUGAUCAAUUCUGAUAGAUGUGGCUGUUUGCAACAAUGAGAUGAUUCAGGCCAGUUCCAGUGAUUUUGUGAAAAUCAGUCAUCUGCACACAGAGGACAGUGGGAACUGAGUGUGAAUCACAACAUAGUAUUUUCAUUCGUUUUGUUGGUAUUUGAUUGCAUUUUGUUUUCUUUCUUACUUUUUUUUCCCCCUUUUUGAUAUGGUUUUUCUUGUACAGCAUGAUAAUUGUGGAAACAUACUAGAAGAAUUGUACAUGUUUAACAUAUGUUGGAUUUCUUGCCAUCUAGGGGAGGGAUGGGUAGAAAGGAGGAAAAAAAAUAGGAAUACAAGGUUUUGCAAGGUUGAAUGUUGAAAAUUAUCCAUGCAUAUGUUUUGAAAAUAAAAGGCUAUAAUAAAAAAUCUUAAAUUAAAAAAAGAGGGUCUAUGAUAUGUUUGCAGCUGGUGUAUUAAACUUGAAAUUGUUAGAAAUUUUUUUUUAAACUCAGAAAUACAGCAUAUUUCUUAAUGUGUUUAUGUAUAUUAUAUUUAUUUAACUUGAAUAUCUGUAAAUUGUAUUGUGUGUGUCUUCAAUGCUAUUAUAUAUGUGUGUGUGUAUAUAUAUAUAUUCUUGAUUAUAAUAACUGGCAUUAAAUAUUGCUUUAAAAUUUGCAGAGUUGUUUACACUUGUUCCUUGAUUUAGUCCUUGUCACAAACCAGUGAGGGAGGUGCUAUUACUGUCCCCAUUUUAUGAGUGAUGAAACUGAUGAUGAGAGAGACCAUGAGAAUCACAUAAGGUCACAUACCAAUAAGUGUUUGAAAAAGAAUUUGACUAUUUCUAUGAUAUUAAAUAGCUGUCUUAACAUAUCUGUGAGUUCACUAGAUGCAUAUAUGACUUCUAUCAUAUGUAAUACAUGUUAAAUAAAAAUAUGUAUUAUACACACCAAGAAAAUGUGCCAUGUUGUUUUUAAAUCUCCUUAAAAUUUUUUUGAAGUAGAUCACAUUAAUGGAUCUCUGAUUUUGUUGAGUGGGGUACUUACCUGUGACAUAUUUGUAACUUGGUACGUGGUCUUUGAAAACUAAUAUAGCUGAAAAACUUGUAGUCCCUUUGGUCAAUUUGAUGAGAUUUUAAAAAAUUGACAUAUGAUUUCAUUGCUGUAAGGAAACUCCUUGUAUAUUUGGAGUACCAAAUAUAUCAAUACUUUCUCUGUAAUUUAUGGUCUUAAAAGAAUUCUCUGGGGUAUCGAGAAAUUAGUUUUGUGUGGAUACACAGAUAGUAUAUUUCAGAAAUUUGAAUCAUAGCUCAGGAUUUUUGGCCACCUUUCUAUCCACUAUGCCAUGCUGCUUAAUAAUUAAAACUCUAGAAAUAGCACAUCUAACCAUAUGGAUUUUCUACUUUAUUGAAAUCCAGUGUCUCAUUGCUUUUAGGUUAUAUAAUUAUAAGUGCUAUUUUUCAUCUUUGAAUGCUUUUCACAACUUUAUCACAGAGAGCCUUUCCCAUUAUACUUUCAAAAGUCAGAUAGCAGAGUAAGAGCUUACAGCAUUGCCUAAAUUCUCCCAGAAUAUCUUCCACAACCAACUACAAAAUGUACCAAACUCUGAGCAGUAAAGACCCCCACCCCACCCUCCCACCUCACCCAUCCCCACCAAAUGUUAAAGUCAAUCAGUUUUUCAACCCAGAGCAUAAAGAGGAAAGUGGACACUAGGGUGUGGGCUGCCUGAGAACACAGCAUAAAAUCAGAAAGCUGUUUUAGCCUUUUCUCUGGUUAAGUGAUGGGGAGCAGCCAGUCUCCAGAAAUCAUAAGGGGCCCAAAAAUUUAAGCAGAAGGAACUCUGCUUCAAAUAGAUCAUUCCUAUACUACCCUUGGGAGCAGGAUCUAGCAUAUCUGGGAGCAGGAACUCUUCACACAGUUCUGGUCCAUGGUGCCAGGGCAUAGAGUAACAGUAGUUGUCAUGAGGAAGGGAGAAGACACCUUCCCUGUGUAAGGAGUGGACUUUACUCCAGGUAGCCAGUGAAAAGACCUCUCUCUUGAAACAAUGAAAACUUACAAGGCCCUAGACUGAGUCAUGAAAGACAAGCCAAUCAUAAUCUGAGAGGUGAGCAGAGCCUUAUUCUCUAACACAAAGUCCAAAUAUAAGAAGUAGGAUGAAAAAAGAAAUCUACUACCGUGUUUCCCCGAUAAUAAGACCUAUCCCGAAAAUAAGCCGUCCCCUUACUGUAUAAGAUUCCUCUAAAAUAAGCCCUCCCCUGAAAAUAAGCCCUAUUGAGAUUGCUACUGUAGUGAACGUGAUCCCCUGUGCUACAUGCUACAUUAUGGUACCCUCUGUAUGCACCGUUUCCCCUCCCCUCUGCUCCCCCACCCCGGGUGAAACGCACGCCACGCUCUGAGCUGCAGCAGUGAGCGCGUCAUCCUGUUCUUCCCCCAGUGAUUUGCUUGCUGGCGCCAUUGAGAGCAGUGCCGUGGAGGAGAGCUGAGGCAGGACAACAUAAAAACCCCGGUAUGUAAGCGGGAGUGAGGGGGCAUGAUGGAGGAUAAAAGGGGCAUAUUGGAGGAUAAAAGAAGAACUCAGGGGGCAUGAUGGAGGAUAAAAGAAGAACUCAGCCAGCACUCACCGCGCUAAAGAAAUGAAGAACUUCCUUGCAGAGAGAAGAAUAGAUCAAGUAAUGAUUCCUGCAGGAAUGACUGCCUAUCUCCAGACCCUUGAUAUUGCAAUAAACAAGCCAUUCAAGGACCAUUUGCGCAUGGAAGUCAAUGACUACAUUGAAAAUAGAAUGGAAAGAAAUCAGCAUGGAAACUUUGUGAAGCUCUGUCUGCAAGAAGUCGUGACUUGGGUGAAGAAGUCAUGGGAUAAAAUUACUGACAGCUUGUCGCCAAGGCACUAGGAGCAGGUUACCUGGACAAGACAUGUUCAUUUAAAGAGAGCUAUAUUGCUGGACAUGACAGAUUGGGUCCACUUCUUCUGAAGGAAAUAGAGGCGAAAGACAUCCAGGACGGAAUUCAGGGUAUGGACACUUAUGACGAUGUUGUUGAAGAAGAUGACAUGAUCAUUAUUGAAUAAAGGUAAUUUUUUUGGUUCACAUUUACCUGUUUAUUAAAAUUGCUGUCAAUGUUCAUUAAAAUAAGCCCACCCCUGAAAAUAAGCCCUCUGGUGUUUUUCUGUUCAAAAAAAUAAUAAGACAAUGUCUUAUUAUCGGGGAAACACGGUAUAAGGGGCUUGUUAAUAUUUAAAAAGAAAGAAAAAAAGUAAA